GAACGUUAUACUAAGUUAAAGGAAAGAACACCUGAAAAUCAAAGAACACUGAGCUAAAGUUAUGAAGCUAAGACAGAGAAUGAUAUAGAGCUUCAUUGUGUUCCUUAUGUGGAUUUAUAAGCCAGAGGACCCAUGAGAGGGAUAUUGGGGCACUUGUGGAAGAACAUAAUUAAGGCAUUUGAAAGUGUUAGAGAUGUCUUGGCUGGGUGAGCAAGUGGGAUUGAUCAUGGACUAGAUAGCUGGUUUGGAAAGUCCCCACUCCAAAACAGUGCACCAGCUUAAGGGUCUGUUUUGAAAGAGGUCAAGAAAAGACAGAACUGGACUUUCUUAAAAACAAUGGGUUGAAUUUUGGGACCCCAGAGAGAGCAUCUCAGUGAAAUUUAACCAAAAAAAGAAGAAAUCCUGGAUUCUUAUCUAUAGUAAUGAACUGAAAA